UACGUAGGGGGCUAGCGUUGUCCGGAAUCAUUGGGCGUAAAGAGCGUGUAGGCGGCCCGGUAAGUCCGCUGUGAAAGUCGGGGGCUCAACCCUCGAAAUGCCGGUGGAUACUGUCGGGCUAGAGUGCGGAAGAGGCGAGUGGAAUUCCUGGUGUAGCGGUGAAAUGACGCAGAUAUCAGGAAGAACACCAACGGCGAAGGCAGCUCGCUAGGACGGUACUGACGCUGAGACGCGAAAGCGUGGGGAGCGAACAGG
rnacentral:rRNA from 1 species